rnacentral:rRNA from 1 species
GACAGAGGAUGCAAGCGUUAUCCGGAAUGAUUGGGCGUAAAGCGUCUGUAGGUGGUUUGACAAGUCUUUUGUCAAAGAUCAGGCUUAACCCUGGGCCGGCAAGAGAAACUAUCAGACUAGAGUUCGGUAGGGGCAGAGGGAAUUCCCGGUGUAGCGGUGAAAUGCGUAGAGAAUCGGGAGGAACACCAGCGGCGAAGGCGGCGACCUGGACAGGUACUGACACUCAACUACGAAAAGC